GCUGGCCAGGUGGUGGAGAGUGUUGCUGCUGGUUCUGCAAGUGUCCUGCUGUCCAGGCUGGAGGUUGGAGAGGGGAAAGGUGCCUUCAGCUGUUUAGUUCUUGGAGAAAGCUCCUCAAGAACCCUGCCCCUCCAGCAGCCGUUCUGAGCUCAGAAGAGAACCGUGGUAUAGGACCAAACCCUAACAAGUAAUUGCCUCUGGCUGGCUGACGUCAGUUAAUGACUGGACUUUGUACCCAAAAGCGAGUUAAAACUAAAGACGGUUGAGGGGAAGUCAUUUCCUCCUUGGAUUGCCCAGUAAGAACAUCUAAAAUGAAAGACCUUGCUCACCUCACUCUUCUCAGCCUCAUUUUUGUAACCUUAGCAACCCAGUCAAGCAUGACUGCCAGUAGUCCUGCCACAACCAGUAAAGCUGCUCCCACCACCACAACCCCA